UACGGGGGGGAGCAAGCGUUGUUCGGAUUUACUGGGCGUAAAGGGCGCGUAGGCGGCCACCGCAAGUCGACUGUGAAAUCUCCGGGCUUAACUCGGAAAGGUCAACUGAUACUGUGCGACUAGAGUGCGGAAGGGGCAACUGGAAUUCUUGGUGUAGCGGUGAAAUGCGUAGAUAUCAAGAGGAACACCUGCGGCGAAGGCGGGUUGCUGGGCCGACACUGACGCUGAGGCGCGAAAAGCCCAGGGGGAGCGAACGGGG
rnacentral:rRNA from 1 species